AUCGUCGGCGGCGCCAGUUGUCGAGCAGCGGUCCAACGGUGCGUAUGCGUAUUUCGUGCGGUCCACGGUGCGUAUGCGUGUUAUUUGACCCACAGAAGGCAAACCGUAGUGCGGCAGUGUUUUUCCUCGUAUCUCGUAUCUCGUACCGUCGUGUUCGUUCUUGUCGUAGUCUCGCAGUCGUACGUACGUCUUCCUCUUGUUUGUUGUGAGUCGUCUUCUUCGCGCGUUUCUUCAUUUGGCCCCCGGUUUUUGUUACCAAUCCGCUGUGCUACUUCCUGUUCCUCCACUUUUUUUUUACUGUUUUUCUUGUUUGUUUUGGCUUCGAUUUGUGUACUACAACUACUACUGCUGAGUGAAAUCAACAAAUAACCCAGGCAAAAGACCAUAGCCCAGUGCAGAGAGUGUGUGAAAGAGAGUGUGUGCUAUGUUGGCUUUCGGUUACCCCAUUGAUGAAUGGCAAACAAAUUGAAUGGCAAUGGCCGGUGAAUAUUAAAAGGGCCAAACACAAUACAAAUAAUCAAAAGAAGAAAAAACCCGCUUCAAGCCAAAAUCAAAUCACACGUGUCAUAUCCCAUUUCGGUUUCGGAAAGUUCUGAUUAAAUUUCUUCGUACAAAAAAAGAAGCGUUAAUUCGGUUAAGCACUUAAAGCGAAAGCCGGGGUCCACGGAGAGUCCAGAGUCCAGGGUCCACAUGGACUGGCAGUUGGCCAGCAGAAGCUGGAUGAUGGCGAUGAUGCGUUGACAGGAGUC